CAGCAGCCGCGGUAAUACGUAGGUGGCAAGCGUUGUCCGGAAUUAUUGGGCGUAAAGGGCUCGCAGGCGGUUUCUUAAGUCUGAUGUGAAAGCCCCCCGGCUCAACCGGGGAGGGUCAUUGGAAACUGGGGAAACUUGAGUGCAGAAGAGGAGAGUGGAAUUCCACGUGUAGCGGUGAAAUGCGUAGAGAUGUGGAGGAACACCAGUGGCGAAGGCGACUCUCUGGUCUGUAACUGACGCUGAGGAGCGAAAGCGUGGGGAGCGAACAGGAUUAGAUACCCUGGUAGUCCACGCCGUAAACGAUGAGUGCUAAGUGUUAGGGGGUUUCCGCCCCUUAGUGCUGCAGCUAACGCAUUAAGCACUCCGCCUGGGGAGUACGGUCGCAAGACUGAAACUCAAAGGAAUUGACGGG
rnacentral:rRNA from 1 species